rnacentral:siRNA from 1 species
UGUCCAAUGUCUUUUCUAGUUCGU